rnacentral:rRNA from 1 species
GAUGAACGCUGGCGGCGUGCCUAACACAUGCAAGUCGAGCGGGAUUCAUGAGGACGAAACUUCGGUCUAGAAAUCAUGAUGAGAGCGGCGGACGGGUGAGUAACGCGUAGGCAACCUGCCCUUAGCACAGAGAUAGCCUCGGGAAACCGGGAUUAAAACCUGAUAAUGCCAAACAGUCACAUGGCUGUUUGGCCAAAGAUUUAUCGGCUGAGGAUGGGCCUGCGUCUGAUUAGUUAGUUGGUGGGGUAACGGCCUACCAAGACGACGAUCAGUAGCAGACCUGAGAGGGUGAUCGGCCACAUUGGAACUGAGACACGGUCCAAACUCCUACGGGAGGCAGCAGUGGGGAAUAUUGCACAAUGGGCGAAAGCCUGAUGCAGCAACGCCGCGUGAGCGAUGAAGGCCUUUGGGUCGUAAAGCUCUGUCCUAGGGGACGAACACAAUGACGGUACCCUUGGAGGAAGCCCCGGCUAACUACGUGCCAGCAGCCGCGGUAAGAC